rnacentral:rRNA from 1 species
AAUGGAGGCAACUCUGAUCCAGCAAUGCCGCGUGUGUGAUGAAGGCCCUAGGGUUGUAAAGCACUUUCAACGGUGAAGAUGAUGACGGUAGCCGUAGAAGAAGCCCCGGCUAACUUCGUGCCAGCAGCCGCGGUAAUACGAAGGGGGCGAGCGUUAUUCGGAAUUAUUGGGCGUAAAGGGCUCGCAGGCUGCUUGAACAGUUAGACGUGAAAUCCCCGGGCUUAACCUGGGAACUGCGUUUAAUACUAGCAAGCUAGAGAAAUAGAGAGGAAAGUGGAACUCCCAGUGUAGAGGUGAAAUUCGUAGAUAUUGGGAAGAACACCAGUGGCGAAAGCGACUUUCUGGCUAUUUUCUGACGCUGAGGAGCGAAAGCGUGGGGAGCAAACAGGAUU